UAAUACGGAAGGCGCAAACGUUGUUCGGUGUCAUUGGGUAUAAAGGGCACGUAGGCGGCCGGGUGGGUCAGGCGUGAAAUCCCCGAGCUCAACUUGGGAAUCGCGCCUGAAACUGCUUGGCUUGAGGACUGGAGGGGGAAGUGGAACGUUGCAUGUAACGGUGAAAUGUGUAGAUAUGCAACGGAAGGCCGGUGGCGAAGGCGGCUUUCUGGCCAGUUUCUGACGCUGAGGUGCGAAAGCGUGGGUAGCGAACGGGAUUAGAUACCCCGGUAGUCCACGCCGUAAACGAUGGGCACUACGUAGAGGGGCCUCCUACGGUCUCUCUGCCGAAGCAAAUGCGUUAAGUGCCCCGCCUGGGGAGUAUGGUCGCAAGGCUG
rnacentral:rRNA from 1 species